GGGGGGGGGUGAAUUGGGUUUCUAAAAAUUUUAAGCCCCAACUGAUUACUUAUGAAGAACAAAACAAAGACUUUAAUUCAAUAUUAAUUACCUAAAGCAGGAAUGCAAAAAUAUAAUAAAGAAAUAAAGUGAAGCGAUAAAGCACACCACAAACACAAGGAUUUAUAGUGGUUCGAUGCUAACCUUGCACCUACAUCCACUCCCCAAGCUCCUACUUGAGAAUUUCAAUCCACUAUACUUUGUAUUCAACCCGAAUACAAAAUGUCGAAAACUCCGACACUAGCUAUCCCAAGCUAGAUCACUUGUUUCCCGGGUACAAGUAAACCCAAAACACUCCGAUUUCAGGUUCGGAUCAACCUUUCCUUGUUUUGGAAAUCCUCCAAAAACAAGAACUAAAACUCACAAAGAGUUAGAAAAUUUUGAGCAUAGAUUAAUACAAUAACAGCUCCUUUAAAUGAGCGAAUAUAAUAAUAAAAACUUUUACUCAAAUGAAGAACCCCUUUUCGGAUUUUCUCAAAGUGGAUGAAUGCUUGAACGAAUGCUUGAGAAGAGGUUGAUUGUUGAUUGAAGAUCUCUUGAAAGCUUUGGAAGAUCUCUAGAUCAAGGUUGAACAAUAGGCUUGAAAGAUCCUCUUGAAUGCUCUUGCUUUUCUCUUUCACAAUCUCUCUUGUAUAUUGUGGAUCCUCUCUCUUUUUCUUUUUGGAUAUUUCAUUGAUCUUAGGCUUUUUCGUGCAGAUUUCGGAUCCUUUCUUCUAUUUUUUUUUUCUCUUUUGAUUUCACGUUUGAUCUGCUAUUUAAUCUGUAAUUUCUUUCACCAUUAAAAGUAUUUUAUGACAUUAGAAGCAAGAGAAAAUAAUUUAGGCAGAUAAAGAGCCGUUAGAGCAAUUUUAGGAAGCAUAAAAGGCAAUUAAAAUGGGCAAAAAAAUAGCCGUUGCUGACAUUUCCCGUCGCAGGGGUCGACUCAUGAGUCGACUCAUGCUUCAGGGGUCGACUCAUGAGUCGACCUCUGUUGCAAAAACCAGAGAAUGC
rnacentral:lncRNA from 1 species